rnacentral:rRNA from 1 species
GACAGAGGUGCCAAGCGUUAGGCGGAAUCACUGGGCUUAAAGCGCGUGUAGGUGGCGGCCUAAGUACCUUGUGAAAUCCUGCGGCUCAACCGCAGAACUGCUUGGUAUACUGGGGUGUCUUGAGCCAGCUAGGGGCUACCGGAACAAAUGGUGGAGCGGUGAAAUGCGUAGAUAUCAGGAGGAACACCGAUGGCGAAGGCAGAUCUCUGGGCCGUAACUGACGCUGAGGAGCGGAAAGCAUGGGGAGCGAACAGG